AACGCGAAGAACCUUACCUGGGCUAGAAUGCUGGUGGACCGCGGGUGAAAGCUCACUUUGUAGCAAUACACCGCCAGUAAGGUGCUGCAUGGCUGUCGUCAGCUCGUGCCGUGAGGUGUUGGGUUAAGUCCCGCAACGAGCGCAACCCCCAUCACUAGUUGCCAUCAGGUCAAGCUGGGAACUCUAGUGAAACUGCCGUCGCAAGACGUGAGGAAGGAGGGGAUGAUGUCAAGUCAUCAUGGCCUUUAUGCCCAGGGCUACACACGUGCUACAAUGGGAGGGACAAAGGGCUGCCACUUGGCGACAAGGAGCUAAUCCCAAAAACCUCUUCUCAGUUCGGAUCGCAGUCUGCAACUCGACUGCGUGAAGCUGGAAUCGCUAGUAAUCGUAUAUCAGCAAUGAUACGGUGAAUACGCUUCCCGGGCCUUGUACACACCGCCCGUCAAGCCAUGGAAGCUGGGUGUACCUAAAGUCGGUAACCGCAAGGAGCC
rnacentral:rRNA from 1 species